GCCUGAUGCAGCAACGCCGCGUGGUGGGAUGACGGCCUUCGGGUUGUAAACCUCUUUUAGCAGGGAAGAAGCGAAAGUGACGGUACCUGCAGAAAAAGCACCGGCUAACUACGUGCCAGCAGCCGCGGUAAUACGUAGGGUGCAAGCGUUGUCCGGAAUUAUUGGGCGUAAAGAGCUCGUAGGCGGUUUGUCGCGUCUGCUGUGAAAACGCGAGGCUCAACCUCGCGCCUGCAGUGGGUACGGGCAGACUUGAGUGCGGUAGGGGAGAUUGGAAUUCCUGGUGUAGCGGUGGAAUGCGCAGAUAUCAGGAGGAACACCGAUGGCGAAGGCAGAUCUCUGGGCCGUUACUGACGCUGAGGAGCGAAAGCGUGGGGAGCGAACAGGAUUAGAUACCCUGGUAGUCCACGCCGUAAACGUUGGGAACUAGAUGUGGGGUCCAUUCCACGGAUUCCGUGUCGCAGCUAACGCAUUAAGUUCCCCGCCUGGGGAGUACGGCCGCAAGGCUAAAACUCAAAGGAAUUGACGGGGGCCCGCACAAGCGGCGGAGCAUGCGGAUUAAUUCGAUGCAACGCGAAGAACCUUACCAAGGCUUGACAUGCACCUGAAAAGGCUGGAAACAGUCUCCUCGCAAGACA
rnacentral:rRNA from 1 species